GGGAAUAUGUAAGUGCCGGUGCAUUUCGUGGUCUUCAAAAUCAUAGGGGGAUAUAAAAACUCCUCGGGAGGUUCGACUCCUUCAUAUUCCC
rnacentral:tRNA from 1 species